rnacentral:rRNA from 1 species
CAGUAGCCGCGGGAAUACGUAGGGUGCAAGCGUUAAUCGGAAUUACUGGGCGUAAAGCGUGCGCAGGCGGCUUUGCAAGACAGAUGUGAAAUCCCCGGGCUUAACCUGGGAACUGCAUUUGUGACUGCAUGGCUAGAGUGCGGCAGAGGGGGAUGGAAUUCCGCGUGUAGCAGUGAAAUGCGUAGAUAUGCGGAGGAACACCGAUGGCGAAGGCAAUCCCCUGGGCCUGCACUGACGCUCAUGCACGAAAGCGUGGGGAGCAAACAGGAUUAGAUACCCGGGUAGUCCCUGUCUCUUAUAC